rnacentral:rRNA from 1 species
UACGGGGGGAGCAAGCGUUGUUCGGAUUUACUGGGCGUAAAGGGCGCGUAGGCGGCCAGCACAAGUCAGUUGUGAAAUCUCCGGGCUUAACUCGGAAAGGUCAACUGAUACUGUGCGGCUAGAGUGCAGAAGGGGCAACUGGAAUUCUCGGUGUAGCGGUGAAAUGCGUAGAUAUCAGGAAGAACACCCGUGGCGAAAGCGGCUCUCUGGGACGGUACUGACGCUGAGACGCGAAAGCGUGGGGAGCGAACAGG